AGUCUGUAAGAAAUGGAGACAGCAGACAAGCGUAGAAAAGUGCAGCAGAGCAUACAAGCUUUUUUUCAGACAGCAGCACAGCAGCAAGACAGUGAGAGGGAGAGGCAGGCUGAAUGCAGUGGACAUGCAGAUGAUCAGGAGACUCACAGGUUCUCUCAAUAUGAAGACAGUGAUUGUCAUUCAGCGGCGAUACCACAUUUGUACCGCAAACUGCCUGUCAGUACUCAACUUUCGUCUCAGUUACAAAAGCAGCAGCACAUGGCCAGAAAUAGUCUCUUAAAGAUUGUGGGUGGGAUGAUGUGCUUGGCAAGUGCUUGGAAAUGCUUUCAGGGGCCAUGACAACAAAGAGGGCCACUUCCACCAGGUGAUUAAGUACAAGGCAGAGGGUGAUGAAGAACUUAGGAGCUGGCUUCAGCAUCACAAUAAUUUCACUAGCCCAAAAAUUCAAAAUGAGGUCCUUAAAAUUGUCAGUAACAAUUUUACGUGAAAUUACAAACGAGCUUCAGUCAUUGCCAGUGGUUCAGUAUUCCCUUAUAAUUGAUGGGACACAGAACGCAGCAGGAGUUGAGCAGGAGUCCUUCUGUAUGCGUUUCAUUGACAAUAACUUGCAACCAAGAGAGGAAUUCAUCGGCCUAUGUCAGGUCACAUCCACUACUGGAGAAAACAUAGCUAGUGUAGCUAAAGAUGUUCUAAUUUGCUUAAAUCUCCCACUAUCACAACUACGGGGUCAAACUUACAAUGGGGCAGCCAAUAUGUCUGGUAAGGUGCAAGGUGUACAAGCUCAUCUCCAGAAAGAACAGCCUCUGGCGGUGUAUGUUCAUUGUGGGUCGCAUUGUGUGAAUCUGAUCAUGCAAGCUGCUUGUAUAUCCUCCCCAUUAUAAGAGAUGCAAUGCACUUAGUGCAUGAAUUGGGGACUUUGUUCAACCAGUCCGGGAAGUUCAAGGUUAUCUUUGCCGCUAUAGUGAAAUCAGAUCACACAUCUCUUCAUACAUCUUUAAAGCCUCUCUGCCCCACCAGGUGGACAGUGCGAAUGCCAGUAUUGCGCUGUCCUCACCCAAUAUGAAUCUGCGCUCACAACCACAGAAGAAAUGUCUCAAUCCGCCACAAUGGAAAUGUCUGCAAAAGCAAGUGGCCUUCAUUGCAGGUUUUUGAGAGGAAAUGCCAUUCUUGGUAUUAUUCUGGCAGAAAAUAUCAUGGCUGUCUUGGAGGAGCUGAACAUUUCUCUACAGCAGAGAAGCCAAACAACAUCAGGGAUGCUGGCUGCUGUAGAGCAUGUGAAGAGAGCCUUGCAAAUGAAAAGAUCUGAAGAGCACUUUGACCAGCUGUACUCCAGAGCAUCACAGGUUGUAACAUCUCUAAACCUGCAGCCCAUCGAGAUGCCUCUUUUAUGGAUGCCUCCGAAGCGCUUCACUGGUCCUGCCACACCACAUCGUCAUUAUACUGCCCAAGCAUACUACAGAAUGCAGUACUUUAGUUCCUUGGAUACUGCUGUGAUGCAGUGCACUGAGUGUUUCAGCCAGGAUCGGCUACAAAGGCUGCAAAAAUUAGAAGACCUACUCCUCUCUGGAAAGAUUGAUGCAGACCUAGAUGAAUACCCAGAGUUGAAUGUCACAGCUUUAGAAGUGCAGCUGAAAUGUUCCAGGCCAACUACAAAUAUUCAACCUCUUCAGAGGUAGCAGAAAUUUUAUGGGAAAUGAUGCCUGAGGUGCAACACUUUUUCAGGCAAGUUGAGGUCCUUUUGAGACUGCUAAUGGUUGUUUCUGCCUCCUCAGCCGGAGGCAGAGAGAAGUUUCAGUGCCUUGAGACGUCUGAAGACUUGGCUGAGAACUACAAUGAUGCAGUGUCGGCUAAACAAUAUUGCCAUUUGCCAUGUGCAUCAAGAGAAAUUGGAUGCAUUGGACAAGACACAAAUCUGUCAGAGCCUAGUUGAGUUCAGUGAUGAGUGCCUCCAGGUUUUUGGGUCAUUUAUUUAGAUGAUACCUUUCCAUUUCCACCCCUUGCUACAUUGUCUGUAGCUGCAGUACACAUACUCACCCCAUUUUUACACCCAAAGAGCCAUACAUCUAACAUUACACUGCUGAAACUGAUUCCGACACUCAUUCAACACUCACAUAAUUUAAUUUACAACAAGAUAAUUCAUAACUUUGCUUUUACCAUUGUUGUCUGUCAAGUUUUUGACUUUUAUUUUUUUGUACAAGUCAUUCAUUCACAUUACACUUUUCAGUGUAAAUAGAUAGACUUACUUUAAGAUAAAUAAAAAAUAUAUAAAGUUGGACAUCUA